rnacentral:rRNA from 1 species
AUGUUUGACGGAGUUGAGCGGAUGCUUCGAGGAGUCAGGCAUGUGCCGGGGCUAAAGAGGAAUUUAAUUUCGCUUGGUGUUCUUCAUGAUGGUGGUAUGGUAUUCCAUUGUGAUCGGGAUAAGAAGACCAUGAGAAUCAUAGAAGAUGAGGUGACUGUGAUGAUUGGAGAGAGGACGACUUUGCAUCUUACAAGUUGCAAGGGAGCACUAUUGCAGGUGGAGUCACGGAGACUGGAGUUGCAGGAGUAG